UCCUUGGUAGCUCAGUGGGUUAAGUGUCUGGCAUUGUCACUGCUAUGGCACGGGUUCAAUCCCUGGCCUGGGAA
rnacentral:tRNA from 1 species